CUACGGAGGGUGCAAGCGUUGUUCGGAAUCACUGGGCGUAAAGGGCGCGCAGGCGGUUUGGUAAGUCAGAUGUGAAAGCCCACGGCUUAACCGUGGAAGUGCAUUUGAAACUGUCAGACUAGAGUAUCAGAGGGGAAAGUGGAAUUCCCGGUGUAGAGGUGAAAUUCGUAGAUAUCGGGAGGAAUACCGGUGGCGAAGGCGACUUUCUGGCUGAAUACUGACGCUGAGGCGCGAAAGCGUGGGGAGCAAACAGGAUUAGAAACCCGUGUAGUCC
rnacentral:rRNA from 1 species